rnacentral:rRNA from 1 species
CUACGUGCCAGCAGCCGCGGUAAUACGGAGGGUGCGAGCGUUAAUCGGAAUAACUGGGCGUAAAGGGCACGCAGGCGGUGACUUAAGUGAGGUGUGAAAGCCCCGGGCUUAACCUGGGAAUUGCAUUUCAUACUGGGUCGCUAGAGUACUUUAGGGAGGGGUAGAAUUCCGCGUGUAGCGGUGAAAUGCGUAGAGAUGUGGAGGAAUACCGAAGGCGAAGGCAGCCCCUUGGGAAUGUACUGACGCUCAUGUGCGAAAGCGUGGGGAGCAAACAGGAUUAGAUACCCUGGUAGUCCACGCUGUAAACGAUGUCGAUUUGGAGGUUGAGCUUUAAGUUUGGCGCCCGUAGCUAACGUGAUAAAUCGACCGCCUGGGGAGUACGGCCGCAAGGUUAAAACUCAAAUGAAUUGACGGGGGCCCGCACAAGCGGUGGAGCAUGUGGUUUAAUUCGAUGCAACGCGAAGAACCUUACCUACUCUUGACAUCCAGAGAACAUUC